AGUGAACGCUGGCGGUAGGCCUAACACAUGCAGGUCGAACGGCAGCACAGUAAGAGCUUGCUCUUACGGGUGGCGAGUGGCGGACGGGUGAGGAAUACAUCGGAAUCUACUUUUUCGUGGGGGAUAACGUAGGGAAACUUACGCUAAUACCGCAUAAGACCUACGGGUGAAAGCAGGGGAUCUUCGGACCUUGCGCGAUUGAAUGAGCCGAUGUCGGAUUAGCUAGUUGGCGGGGUAAAGGCCCACCAAGGCGACGAUCCGUAGCUGGUCUGAGAGGAUGAUCAGCCACACUGGAACUGAGACACGGUCCAGACUCCUACGGGAGGCAGCAGUGGGGAAUAUUGGACAAUGGGCGCAAGCCUGAUCCAGCCAUACCGCGUGGGUGAAGAAGGCCUUCGGGUUGUAAAGCCCUUUUGUUGGGAAAGAAAAGCAGCAGGUUAAUACCCCGCUGUUCUGACGGUACCCAAAGAAUAAGCACCGGCUAACUUCGUG
rnacentral:rRNA from 1 species